rnacentral:lncRNA from 1 species
CGGACGGACGGACGGACGACGAAAACAAACGACAAGUAAACAAAUCAAACAUUGGCGGUGCCAGCUUAAUAUUAUAUUAUAGUUCAAUAUGCACUUUUGGAAUUUAAAAAAAUUCGUGCAGCAGAACGUAUACUCGUACUAGCAUAGCUUAUAUGUUAGUAAAUGAAUCUAAACAAAAUAAUAAAAUUCCAGGCCUUUCAAUAGGCAGAUAGACAAUUCGAUGAGUGGGGUUUCCAUUCUGGAUUUUCCUCGAAGUUCAGUAUUCUCGGGAUUUAACUUUUUUCGUAGAUACAAAAUCAGAGAUUUGUUUUCCAGAACCUCACAUAUUGUUACAACACAUCAGUUCAACUUUAGCUGUACUCUGCAUGAGAUUUGGUGCAUUCAUCUUAUAUAUAUGAAAUAUUUGUCACUGGACGCCAAAAACUAACAUCAAUCAAUAUGUGCA